AGACACUCGAUCUGACGCGAGAGUGUUCUUUUGAUUAAAUAUAAACUGAAGAAAUCAGAAUUUAACUUGCAUAUAUUCAAUGAUACAGCGUGAUUGUGUGGAUUGAGCACUUUUUGAGCUUUCAUUUUGACCUGUGUGAUUAUGUAAAACCACAUGGUGCGUUGUGUUCACUGCUGUUCGCUGACGCCAUUUUGGUUGCACGUGCCUGUGAAAGACAAAAAGAGAGAGAAACACGUGAAUGGACAGCUGGAUUUUCCUAAUUGAUGGCGAGCCUCCCAUUUCGACCUGAUUGGAUCACGAAUCUAGAGGAAAGGACAAUUUUCUAUUUUAAAUAUUUUUCUUCAGACAAGUAAGAGGAUACAAACCGUUUCCUUAUUUUGUUUGUUUACUUUAUUGAACUGAAACAUUUCAGAAGCACAAUUCUGAUAAUUUAAGACUGAUCAAUACUCCAAUUGAUAAGAACUUGGAACUUGAAUACUGAUUUCAGUUUGUUACAUAUAUAAUUUGUACCAUCUUUGUACAUUGAUUGUGACUGUGAUUUCUGUAAAUGAGAAGUAAUUUAGAGGGUGCACCCAUAGUAUAUAUAGUUAAUUGUAUUUUCAUUGUUGUUACUAUUUUUUGUGAUUACGGAAAGAAAUAGAAAGGUUUCUCAAUACUCAAAGUAAAAUAAUUUAUUAAUCAACUUACCUUCUGUCUCUGCUUGUUGCUCACUAUCACUGCUACCUCCUCCUUCGUACGGUGCACCAUUCUGAUCUUAUUAUUAUGCCUGGUCCAUAAGUAAGUGAGUUAAUACCCGCUACAUAAAGAAAGUACACUUUCAUGGCAAUAUUUCUAAACACAUUUAAUAAAUGAUCAUUAGACUGAUGUGACCUACCAAAGACUUGUUAAUUUAAAGUUCAUGCAAUUAUUUUUUAGUUGUCUGUUAAAAUGUAAAAAAAAAAAUAACUUUGAGUUUAUUUUUUUCUAAGGGAUGUAAUUAUUCAAUAUUGAUAG